ACACAUGUGAUCUAUAGAGUUCGUCUCUAUUAUAGCCCAAGGAAUCGCCUUUUGGGUCAUUUGGCAUAUGAUACUCCCUUGUCCUGCAUAGUGUUAAGGACUAAGACACCACAUUUACCAAAGUCAGAGGAGCAUGCUCCUGCCCUACUACCUCAGGAAGAAGAAGAAAGGGAUAUCAUGAGAAUGCAGCCUGAUUCCUCCCAUUGGUAUCAAGAAUCCUAUGAGUUCCUGGGGGAAACAAAGCACAGAGCCCCUUCUGAACAAGAGACUGAAUCUUGGAACUGGUUCUAUUUCUCCAUCUUGACUCUGAGCUCUCUAGUCUCCUGCUUUCCUUGCUACGGAGAUUUUGGGCUCUCUGUCUCCUGACAUAUUACCAAGGAAGCAGCCACAGGACAGCCAUUACCAGAGAAGUGUGUGAGCCUCACAAUUCUGGUUCUAACCUUUGGAAAGUUGUCAUUGUCUAAGCUUGCCUUCAUGAGUUUCUCAAUGUGUUUUUAACAUUCAUUUUUAAGCAAUAACUGUGCCAAUAUUGCCCCCUUCUUUUAUGAUCUUGGUAUACAAGGGAGGCUAUUUGGGUUUUAAAUAUAGAUUUUAAGAGCAUGUGUAUAUUAAACAUUGUGAUGUGUGUAUAACAUGGAUAUACACCUUAGGUUAUGUUUUUAUAUGUCAUCUCUGAUUUGUUGCCAAUUUAAUAAAUCUAGUAUGGAUA